GCCAAUGAGAAUACCCGCCAAAAGUCUACCCCCAAAAGAAUAUCGACGAGCCUCCACGCCCAGCUUCUCCAGGAAUUCCUGACCAUUACACCCUAGCAUGCU